GGCUCGGUAGCUCAGUCGGAAGAGCGCUCGCCUGAAAAGUGAGAGGUCACCGGAUCGACGCCGGUCCGAGCCACCA
rnacentral:tRNA from 1 species